CGAUGGAUGCGCCGUUGGCGGUGACAUCGAAAUAGACUCUGGGGUUGGACAUUUCAGCAGGCGGAACUAUACAGGGUAGACUGAAGAGUUCUCCGGCGAAGGAACACUGUGGGCCGCAAGGAACCGAAAAAGAUGGAGGUUUCCACACGGAAACGUUUAGAGAGCAGAUCCCGACGGAGAGCUGGUGGGCGAAGGUGGGGGUGUGGUAUCGACCGGCGACCUUUAAUGACCUUUGAUGCCCUACGGUUGAUGCUCACAGAGAGGAGGUGGUGCACGCUGGCAUCAUGAAGAGCGAUUCAACCCCCCCUCACCUCCCGACCUCCUGAAGAAGAACCAAGUUGGUUUGUCAGGAUGUCAGCUGAUCGUGAUGAAGACGUGAUGACUGAAGGUCCUGGAGAUGAUCCCAGCUGUCUCACCUGGACAGGUAUCCAGCUCCAGAGGUCGUAGUUUUCGGUGCUGUUGAACUGGAGUGUGAAACAAUGGGAUGUUACAAGCUCUCUGAUUGGUUGGAGAGCUAACCAGUCAUUUCUGGUUUUACCUGCACCGACGCUCCGGUCAGAGAGAGGCUGACAGGAGGAGCAGCUGGAAAAAGGGAAUGAAAGUUGAAUCCAGGAACGUAUUCUCGUUUUUAAAAUAUCUUUUCAAAUAGCUUUUCAAAUUCUAUUAUUUAUUUGUGAAUGAAUAAAUAUAUUUAUAAAUGUAUAUUUAAUGAGUUUUAUGCUGUUUUUGUAAAUCCAUUUUUAAAUCUUUAGUAUCUAUUGAUGAUUAAUAACUUUUAAUCACACACAAUUUCAUAUUAAUUAUUUAUGCUUCAUUUUGUAGACGAGCAUCAUUCAGACAGUAUUCUAGUUUUACUGCUGAUUAUUUGAACUUGAUUGAAUUAAUAAAUUGUUUGGUUUAUAAAAAUCGCACAAAAGAUAAAAAUAUAAAGUUUGAUCUGUUGUUUGUUUCUGUCUCAUCUGACUCCGUUAGUUCAUGUGUUUAUUAAAGCACCACAGACUCUCCUC